rnacentral:rRNA from 1 species
GGAUAGCCAUGCGAGUUAACGUAGCAAUACGUGGCAUACGGCUCAGUAACACGUAGUCAACAUGCCCAGGGGACGUGGAUAACCUCGGGAAACUGAGGAUAAACCGCGAUAGGCCAAGAUUUCUGGAAUGAAUCAUGGUUUAAAUCUAUAUGGCCCCUGGAUUGGACUGCGGCCGAUCAGGCUGUUGGUGAGGUAAUGGCCCACCAAACCUGUAACCGGUACGGGCUCUGAGAGGAGGAGCCCGGAGAUGGGCACUUAGACAAGGGCCCAGGCCCUAUGGGGCGCAGCAGGCGCGAAACCUCUGCAAUAAGCGAAAGCUUGACAGGGUUACUCUGAGUGAUUUCCGCUAAGGAAGUCUUUUGGCACCUCUAAAAAUGGUGCAGAAUAAGGGGUGGGCAAGUCUGGUGUCAGCCGCCGCGGUAAUACCAGCACCCCGAGUGGUCGGGACGAUUAUUGGGCCUAAAGCAUCCGUAGCCGGUCCUGCAAGUCCUCCGUUAAAUCCACCCGCUCAACGGUUGGGCCGCGGGGGAUACUACAGGGCUAGGAGGCGGGAGAGGCAAGCGGUACUCGAUGGGUAGGGGUAAAAUCCACUGAUCCAUUGAAGACCACCAGUGGCGAAGGCGGCUUGCCAGAACGCGCUCGACGGUGAGGGAUGAAAGCUGGGGGAGCAAACCGGAUUAGAUACCCGGGUAGUCCCAGCUGUAAACGAUGCAGACUCGGUGAUGGGCUGGCUUCGUGCCAACCCGGUGCCGCAGGGAAGCCGUUAAGUCUGCCGCCUGGGGAGUACGGUCGCAAGACUGAAACUUAAAGGAAUUGGCGGGGGGGCACCACAAGGGGUGAAGCCUGCGGUUC